rnacentral:tRNA from 1 species
GGAGGCGUUCGAGCGCCCGGUGGGCUCCCCGGUCUUCAAAACCGGUGGCGGGUCGCAUUGCGGUCCGCGGGGUUCGACUCCUCGCGCCUCC